CAUACUACUCAGGAAAAAAAGAAC
rnacentral:piRNA from 1 species